ACGCACGCUGGCGGCGUGCCUAAUACAUGCAAGUAGAACGCUGAAGGAGGAGCUUGCUCUUCUGGAUGAGUUGCGAACGGGUGAGUAACGCGUAGGUAACCUGCCUGGUAGCGGGGGAUAACUAUUGGAAACGAUAGCUAAUACCGCAUAACAGUAGAUGUUGCAUGACAUUUACUUAAAAGGUGCAAUUGCAUCACUACCAGAUGGACCUGCGUUGUAUUAGCUAGUUGGUGGGGUAACGGCUCACCAAGGCGACGAUACAUAGCCGACCUGAGAGGGUGAUCGGCCACACUGGGACUGAGACACGGCCCAGACUCCUACGGGAGGCAGCAGUAGGGAAUCUUCGGCAAUGGACGGAAGUCUGACCGAGCAACGCCGCGUGAGUGAAGAAGGUUUUCGGAUCGUAAAGCUCUGUUGUAAGAGAAGAACGAGUGUGAGAGUGGAAAGUUCACACUGUGACGGUAUCUUACCAGAAAGGGACGGCUAACUACGUG
rnacentral:rRNA from 1 species